rnacentral:rRNA from 1 species
GACGAACGCUGGCGGCGUGCUUAACACAUGCAAGUCGAACGGAAAGGCCCUGCUUUUGUGGGGUGCUCGAGUGGCGAACGGGUGAGUAACACGUGAGUAACCUGCCCUUGACUUUGGGAUAACUUCAGGAAACUGGGGCUAAUACCGGAUAGGAGCUCCUGCUGCAUGGUGGGGGUUGGAAAGUUUCGGCGGUUGGGGAUGGACUCGCGGCGUAUCAGCUUGUUGGUGGGGUAGUGGCUUACCAAGGCUUUGACGGGUAGCCGGCCUGAGAGGGUGACCGGCCACAUUGGAACUGAACUACGGCCCAGACUCCUACGGGACGCAGCGGUGGGGAAUAUUGCACAAUGGGCGGAAGCAUGAUGCAGCACCGCCGCGUGCGGGAUGACGGCCUUCGGGUUGUAAUCCGCUUUCGCAUGUGACGAAGCGUGAGUGACGGUAAUGGGUAAAGAAGCACCGGCUAACUACGUG